AGGAUAAUGGUUGAAAAGUCAAAAGAAGCAACAGUGAUGCUCGGCUCGUUUUAAGAAGCCAAGAGCACGAACAGAAACAGAAGAAAAGAGAGGAAAAGAGGAGAAAGGAGAGGAAAGGAAAGAGGAAGAAGAAAAAGAGAAAAGAGAAGGGGGCUUUGCACCGCAGGGGUCUGGCUAAGCCGAUUCGACUUCGUAACGCAACGCUCCGUAUUCGAGUGCGUCGGCUCGAGAAAUCGCCGUAGGUUAGUUUUUCGGCUUUUCAAGGUUCUUCACCGAGCCGCAAGUAGGGCUUGAGAGUUUCGAUAUUAGGGUGGACAUUUUGAUAGUGGGGACUUUUUGGUACGAGUUAUGCAUAGAUGUGGAGCUUAAUGUAUUAGCUUGUUUCUGGUU